rnacentral:rRNA from 1 species
AGAGUUGAUCCUGGCUCAGAACGAACGCUGGCGGCAUGCCUAACACAUGCAAGUCGAACGAGAAACCAGAGCUUGCUCUGGCGGACAGUGGCGGACGGGUGAGUAACGCGUGGGAAUUUGCCCUUGGGUACGGAACAACUCAUGGAAACGUGAGCUAAUACCGUAUACGCUCUUUUUCUUUAGCGGAAAAAGAGGAAAGAUUUAUCGCCCUUGGAUGAGCCCGCGUUGGAUUAGCUAGUUGGUAAGGUAAUGGCUUACCAAGGCAACGAUCCAUAGCUGGUUUGAGAGGAUGAUCAGCCACACUGGGACUGAGACACGGCCCAGACUCCUACGGGAGGCAGCAGUGGGGGAUAUUGGACAAUGGGGGCAACCCUGAUCCAGCAAUGCCGCGUGAGUGAAGAAGGCCUUAGGGUUGUAAAACUCUUUCAGUGGGGAAGAUAAUGACGGUACCCACAGAAGAAGCUCCGGCUAACUCCGUGCCAGCAGCCGCGGUAAUACGGAGGGAGCUAGCGUUGUUCGGAAUUACUGGGCGUAAAGCGUACGUAGGCGGAUUGACAAGUUGGGGGUGAAAUCCCAGGGCUUAACCCUGGAACUGCCCUCAAAACUAUCGAUCUAGAGACCGGGAGAGGUAAGCGGAAUUCCUAGUGUAGAGGUGAAAUUCGUAGAUAUUAGGAAGAACACCAGUGGCGAAGGCGGCUU